CCUACGGGUGGCAGCAGUGGGGAAUAUUGCGCAAUGGGCGAAAGCCUGACGCAGCGACGCCGCGUGAGGGAUGAAGGUCUUCGGAUCGUAAACCUCUGUCAGCAGGGAAGAACGGUCACUUUGCUAAUCAGCAGUGAAUUGACGGUACCUGCAAAGGAUGCACCGGCUAACUCCGUGCCAGCAGCCGCGGUAAUACGGAGGGUGCGAGCGUUAAUCGGAAUUACUGGGCGUAAAGCGCUCGUAGGCGGUAUGUCAAGUCAAGGGGGAAAUCCACGCGCUCAACGUGGGAACUGCCUUUGAAACUGGCAAACUGGAGUGUGUGAGAGGAUAGUGGAAUGCCAGGUGUAGGAGUGAAAUCCGUAGAUAUCAGGAGGAACAUCAGUGGCGAAGGCGACUAUCUGGCACAUAACUGACGCUGAGGAGCGAAAGCGUGGGUAGCAAACAGGAUUAGAUACCCUGGUAGUC
rnacentral:rRNA from 1 species